GGAGUUGUGGCUCAGUGGCAGAGUGCUUGCCUAGCAUGCGUGAGGCACUGGGUUCGAGUCUCAGCACCA
rnacentral:tRNA from 1 species